CGGGAAGAGGGACGCGGGUGCCCGCGGUAGCCACGAGGCUGUGGCUGAAGUGGCAGCGAGGAGUUCAGCGCUGCUGCGGUGAUGGGGUUUUAUUCUCUCUUCCCCGCCUCCCUCAUCCCGGACCCGAUCCUGAGCCCGAUCCCACUGAACUGGAAAGAACUUUAUCUAGGGGUCUCUCUCAGACAAAAGAAACAGCCACUGGAAUUUGGGAGCAGUUCCUAGCCUGAGAGUUUGGUCAGCAAUGUACUGAAACCAUGUGAAAGAAAUGUAAUCCAGGGAUUUUCUGCGUACAUUAUUUGUGUAAUUAGAAAAAGGCCAUGGCUGACGUCACUGUAUUAAUCUCCAACAAAUUGGAGCAUUUGAUCACCUGCUGACAUUGAAGCCCAAAAGAUUCUGGGGCACAUUUUAGUUAAUCCAUGAUUAAAAGCAUGAUUAAUUUGCCUUUUUACAAUAUUGCUAGAAAACUGCAAAUGGUAUUCAACAUACUG